rnacentral:rRNA from 1 species
ACGGGAGGCAGCAGUGGGGAAUAUUGGGCAAUGGGCGCAAGCCUGACCCAGCAACGCCGCGUGAAGGAAGAAGGUUUUCGGAUUGUAAACUUCUGUCCUUGGUGACGAAGGAAGUGACGGUAGCCAAGGAGGAAGCCCCGGCUAACUACGUGCCAGCAGCCGCGGUAAUACGUAGGGGGCAAGCGUUGUCCGGAAUGACUGGGCGUAAAGGGCGUGUAGGCGGCUUUUUAAGUCUGAAGUGAAAGUCCUGCUUUCAAGGUGGGAAUUGCUUUGGAGACUGGAAGGCUUGAGUGCGGAAGAGGUAAGUGGAAUUCCCAGUGUAGCGGUGAAAUGCGUAGAGAUUGGGAGGAACACCAGUGGCGAAGGCGACUUACUGGGCCGUAACUGACGCUGAGGCGCGAAAGCGUGGGUAGCAAACAGGAUUAGAUACCCUGGUA